rnacentral:rRNA from 1 species
GACGAACGCUGGCGGCGUGCCUAAUACAUGCAAGUCGAACGCAGAGGGGACGGGUGAUUAACACGUGGGUAACCUCCCAUCAGAGGGGAUAACACUUGGAAACAGGUGCUAAACCGAUACUGAUGGAUGGACCCGCGGGGCAUUAGCUAGUUGGUGGGGUAACGUCGCACCAAGGCCACGAUGCAUAGCUGGUGUGAGAUGGUGAUCGGCCACACGGGGAAGGAGACACGGUCCAGACUCCUACGGGAGGCAGCAGUGGGGAAUCUUCGGCAAUGGACGAAAGUCUGACCUAGCAACGCCGCGUGAGUGAAGAAGGUUUUCGGAUCGUAAACCUCUGUUAUUAGGGAGGCGGUAGCUAAACAGAAAGCCACGGCUAACUACGUGCCAGCAGCCGCGGUAAUAC